rnacentral:rRNA from 1 species
UACGAAGGGGGCUAGCGUUGCUCGGAAUGACUGGGCGUAAAGGGCGCGUAGGCGGCUCAUACAGUCAGGCGUGAAAUUCCUGGGCUCAACCUGGGGACUGCGCUUGAGACGUGUGGGCUUGAGUGGGGAAGAGGGUCGUGGAAUUCCCAGUGUAGAGGUGAAAUCGUAGAUAUUGGGAAGAACACCGGUGGCGAAGGCGGCGACCUGGUCCUUGACUGACGCUGGAGGCACGAAAGCGUGGGGAGCAAACAGG